CAAAUCAAACCAGCAAAAAUAGGCUUAGGACCUAGAAAUUUCUAUUAAAUUGGACCAAACCUGAAUUAGACCGAAUCAAGAUAUAAAUACCUUUUUGGGGUUGAGGAAAGAGAAACCCAAAAAUUUUCUUUCUUCGUUGUAUGUUAAAAGUGCUGCCUCCCUCUCCUUCCCGUUUUCAGACCAAACGGCCAUAGUUUCCGGCGAGCUAGCAGUCUAAACACAUCUACUCGACGAAAGGAACUUCAUCCUAGCCUUGCUUCGCGCGAUUUAAACUGUAGUCAUGUAAAAUCGGGUCUGAAAUUUUUAUUAACGAUGCAGCGUUGCUUUCCAGUGAAUUCAUGCCUUCUCCGACGAGUUUAGGCUUCGGGAUGGGUACUAGUUGAUCUCUCCCUCCUGCGCGAACAUUUUCCCUCUAUCAAUCAAGGUUUUCGGUGGAGAACGAUGAACCACCGUGAUCGGUGGCUCCUUUGGUGGCUGUCGAGGCUCAUUCCGGCCAAAUGGGCCACUGACUCGACAAAUGGACACUAAAUUCGAGUCCCCAAUGAAAUUUCGAGCAGAGUGGUGUAGGCCUCGUGAAGUUCCAGCGAUGCACGAUUUUUCGAAUAUCCGGCAAGGACUUAGAGGCAGAAUCAUCUACUCUUCAAGCUGAUCUCAAAUCUGCAAUCCAAUUUUGUGAGUUCUAAGCGUCAACACUACUUUUGUAAAAAUUCGAUUAAAGGUUAUUAAUUUAAAUUAGAUCAAAUUAGUUUAGUUAAGUGGAUUAAUAUUGAAUGAGCUUAAGUAAAUGCUAAUUUAGUUAAUUGAGUUAAUGGUUGACAUAAAACGUUGUGAAAUUAGAGUAGAAUUUGAUAUCCAUAAGUUACCAUUAUGAAUGGCACAUAUAUUACUUCUAAGGUUUGAAUGUUAUUAUUUAAUGAAUAUUAAGUUGUGAUUGAUAUAAGAUAUGCAAGGUUUGAUAGUAAUUCUAGUUAAUGAUUGAAAACAGACUUGUGAAUGACCGAGUUGCUAUUUAAAUUGUGUAAUUGAAUUGAGCAGUUAAUUAUAUAAUCAAAAUUGAUGAUGUGAAAUGAUUGGUUCUAGAUUGUGUUGAUAAUGGAAGGAGGAAGAGCUUAAUUGAUUGAUUUGCCCGACGGAUGGGCAGUGAUUAUAUGCUGACUUUCCUUGAAUUGGAAACGAGUAGAUUAUUCUAAUUAUAGGGGAGAUGCUGCCGGAUUUUCAUCAACACAUCUUCAGAUAAUUAGAUUAAUUACAUUAUUAUUUUUUUUUUUUUUAACACGAAAUUGGGCAAAGGAUAUGUGAAGUAAUGCUAUUGACUUAGAAUAAAGAAAUGAACGUGAGAAGUAUAACUUGAUAUAGUUUGAAUCAGGUAAACAGCUCCAUUUUAUGGGAGAUGCUGCCGAAUUUUCUGUAGCACAAAGUCAAAUAAUGAAAUCAGCUGAUUUUUUUUAUUUUUAUUAAUUAAUAUUUACAGAAGAUUAUUUAGUUAAAGAAUUAUAAUGAGGUUAGAUUAGCAUGUAUAACAUAUAUAGAUUAUGAUAGGAUACUUAAGAUUAGAAAACUGAGAUAGGGGAUUUAUGUCGGUCUAGAAUAUUUGGAUUAAAUGAUUGGGAAAAAAUAGAUACAAUAUUAUUAAAAAUUAGAAUUUAAAAAGGACAAUUAAAAUUCAUGAAUAGUAAACUUAUUUUGGUUCUUUCUUUAGAUAUUCUUGUAGGUCCCGAGGAAUCAAAUCUCAAAUAGCAGAGUAUCGGGAAAGGAAUAUAGCUUCUAACUAAACUGUAUAACAGUGAGUAGUAUUAGAUAAUUCCCAUCAUCCACCUGCAUUUGCAUCCAUGCAUACAUGGCUAAAUGCUAGACAUGCGUUACUUAGUAAUUUGUAUUUUGUGUUCCAUUAUUUUUUGCUAUUGGAAAUGAUUUGAUUAGUUGUGACGUGCUUCAUGUUUGUUUUGCUUGUGUGGAGUUGGGAUGAAGUGGGUCACCGUUGGGUUUGUAAGGGCGGUCUAUGAUACCGUCAGCCAUCUAUGGAGAGGUCAGCGCCCUCAUGUGCAUCUGAUAAAAUAUUGUCACGACCCAUCUUCGCGGGGCGGACCAGCCCUAGGACUGGGCAGGCUUAAGGCCUCUGAAGCCCGUAGUAAGCCUAUCUUAGUUAACCCAUAUUCUAUUACUAAUUGUGGCUUCAGGCCCAAUAACUUAUUUCACUAAUACAUCAAAAGUACAAUUCAUAUAAUUAAUUUAUGUACUCUUAUUAUUCAAUUACAAUCCAUUUGGAAUACAAUUGCGGAACUCCAUAAUUGACAGUCCUUUACAUUUACAUCAUUAUUACAAAUAUCAACAGUCU
rnacentral:lncRNA from 1 species